rnacentral:rRNA from 1 species
GACGAACGCUGGCGGCGUGCUUAACACAUGCAAGUCGAACGGUGAAGGGACCAGCUUGCUGGUUCUGGAUGAGUGGCGAACGGGUGAGUAACACGUGAGUAACCUGCCCCCUUCUUCUGGAUAACCGCAUGAAAGUGUGGCUAAUACGGGAUAUUCUGGGUCUGUCGCAUGGCGGGCCCGGGAAAGAUAUUGCUUCGGUGGGGGAUGGGCUCGCGGCCUAUCAGCUUGUUGGUGGGGUGAUGGCCUACCAAGGCGGGGACGGGUAGCCGGCCUGAGAGGGUGGACGGUCACACUGGGACUGAGACACGGCCCAGACUCCUACGGGAGGCAGCAGUGGGGAAUAUUGCACAAUGGGCGCAAGCCUGAUGCAGCGACGCCGCGUGAGGGAUGGAGGCCUUCGGGUUGUAAACCUCUUUCGCCAGUGAAGCAGGCCUGCUCCUUGUGGGUGGGUUGACGGUAGCUGGAUAAGAAGCGCCGGCUAACUACGUG